UACAGAGGUCCCAAGCGUUGUUCGGAUUCACUGGGCGUAAAGGGUGCGUAGGUGGUUAGGUAAGUCCAAUGUGAAAUCUCCGAGCUUAACUCGGAAACUGCAUCGGAUACUAUCUGACUAGAGGGUUGGAGGGGGGACUGGAAUACUUGGUGUAGCAGUGAAAUGCGUAGAUAUCAAGUGGAACACCAGUGGCGAAGGCGAGUCCCUGGACAACUCCUGACACUGAGGCACGAAAGCUAGGGGAGCAAACAGG
rnacentral:rRNA from 1 species